rnacentral:rRNA from 1 species
UACGGAGGGUGCAAGCGUUAUCCGGAUUCACUGGGUUUAAAGGGUGCGUAGGUGGGUUGGUAAGUCAGUGGUGAAAUCCCCGAGCUUAACUUGGGAACUGCCAUUGAUACUAUUAUCUUGAAUACCGUGGAGGUCAGCGGAAUAUGUCAUGUAGCGGUGAAAUGCUUAGAUAUGACAUAGAACACCAAUUGCGAAGGCAGCUCACUACACGAAAUAUUGACACUGAGGCACGAAAGCGUGGGGAUCAAACAGG